rnacentral:rRNA from 1 species
ACGUAGGGUGCGAGCGUUAAUCGGAAUUACUGGGCGUAAAGCGAGCGCAGACGGUUAUUUAAGCAAGAUGUGAAAGCCCCGGGCUCAACCUGGGAACUGCGUUUUGAACUGGGUAACUAGAGUGUGUCAGAGGGGGGUAGAAUUCCACGUGUAGCAGUGAAAUGCGUAGAGAUGUGGAGGAAUACCGAUGGCGAAGGCAGCCCCCUGGGAUAACACUGACGUUCAUGCUCGAAAGCGUGGGUAGCAAACAGGAUUAGAUACCCUGGUAGUCCACGCCCUAAACGAUGUCAAUUAGCUGUUGGGGUACAUGAUGCCUUAGUAGCGUAGCUAACGCGUGAAAUUGACCGCCUGGGGAGUACGGUCGCAAGAUUA